CGGAGCUCCUGGAGGGGGAAGGAAAAGGGAAGAGGAAAGGGAGAAGAGGAGAGACAGGUGAGAGGAGGAGUGGAGAAGGGAGAGACAGGUGAGAGGAGAGACAGGUGAGAGGAGGAGUGGAGAAGAGGAGAGACAGGUGAGAGGAGGAGUGGAGAAGAGGAGAGACAGGUGAGAGGAGGAGUAGAGAAGGGAGAGACAGGUGAGAGGAGGAGUGGAGAAGAGGAGAGACAGGUGAGAGGAGGAGUGGAGAAGGGAGAGACAGGUGAGAGGAGUAGAGAAGAGGAUAGACAGGUGAGAGGAGGAGUGGAGAAGAGGAGAGACAGGUGAG